ensembl:lncRNA
GUGGAUUUGAUGAUUUUUACUUCAGGGUUGAAAGAAGACUCGUAUUUGCGUGUUAUCAUUUGUCAAAGCCCACCUAAUGUGGGAGCCGCUCAGUAGGCCUGUUUUGUAGUAGAUGCUGGAAAAGCUUUGUAAUUGGAGUCCAAAGACCUGGAUUGAAGCCUCUAGCUCUGCCCAGUAUUAACUGUGUGCCCUAGGAAAUGAUUGAAGUUGUGGUAAACGUAAACAAGACGGAGCCAGCAGAUAAGCAGCGGCACCCCAACAGAAGUAAGGAGUGGAGUGACAUCUGGAGGAGACAGGAAGAAAGGAGUGUGAAAGAGUUGGGAGUUUGAAAAUACUGGUAAGUACUUAAAACAGUAGUUGUGGGCUUUAUAUCACCCUAAAUUAGAAUUUUGUAUCGUAUAUAUCUGAUUAUAUCAGAAAUGACUUGCAAUAACUUAUGAAAAAGAUAACUUAUUACAGGACUCCAGGACUGUCUUACAGAAACUUACAGGAGAAAUGCACCUGCCUUUGGGGAAGGGCUAACGCCAGGAACUGGACCUGUGCUCUUCUGUCCCUUGUCUCUAUGUGUCUUUGUACAUGUGCUUCAUUCUCUCUAGAACUGGCGUGGAAUCUGGCCACUCCAUAUUUCUCCAGAAUAUAGGUUAUAGCUACUCAUGGCAAAGUAAACAUGUUCCAGUGUGUUACAAAUUCCCAGCAGAGUCAAUCUAAUUGUACUUCCAAUCUAAUCAACUAUAACCAGGGAGCAAGAUCAUAAAUAGGAAGAAGCAACCAGAGGCCCACAAACUGGGCUGGAGAGGGAAACAGUUGUGAAAGGAGAGAGGCUGGGAACAAAUUCCAGUAGGUUUCCACUAAAGGUUUAAAUGUAAAAAUAAACCAUGAUCACACAGCUACCAGCUGGAAAGGGAGGAGUAUUUUAAUAGCCUUUCAGAUAAUUGUGAGUAUUCUUCUUUGAUGUGAUAUGAUAACCUGGCAAGUGACUUUUUUUUAAGGAUUCGUUGUAAUAUGGAAUAUGAAACUAUAUUAAAGAACAUAUUAUGCAUUUUAAAAUCUAUUGGUCUAUCUUUAAAACAAAACAUGAAAAUACUAAAAUAAUACACCAAUAAAUAACUUUGUGAAGUUUAGGGAAGAUCUUCCCAAACAUGACACAUAAAAAUGGAAAGCUUUAAACAUCAGGAAACACAAUCAACGAGAGACAAAUGAUACUCUGGAAAAAGUAUUUGCAGCAUACAUGGCAAAAGAGUUGACAUUCUUAAUGAAUAAUGAACACAAUUAAUGAAAUAAUUAUACAUUAAUACAAGAAAAAAUGCACAUUUAAAUAGAAACAGAUAAAGGAAACGGCUAGGCAACUGACCAAAGAAGAAAUUCAAAUGGCAAAUAAACAUAUAAAAAAUGUUAAAUUGAGUAAUAUUCUUUAAAAUGAAAAUUAAAACUAUGAGCUACCACUUUUUCCUCAUCAGAGUUAAAAAUAGGUGAAAAAGAGUAGUGCUGUGUUGAUGUGGAUGCGGACAAAUAAGAACCGUUAUGCACUCUUUUGGGGACUGUAUUCGUUUCCUAUUGCUGCUGUAACGAUUUACCCCAAACUCGUGGCUUAGAGCAACACUUACUCUCUUACGGUUCUCAAGACAAGAAGUCUAAAUGGGUUGGCAGGAUGAUGUACCUUCUGUUGGCUCUAAGGAGAGGCUGUUUCCUUGCCUUUUCCAGCUUCUAGAGGCUGCCCUGAUUCUUGGCUCACGGCCCCUCACCGCUCCAACCUCUACUUCCAUCAUCCCUUCUCUUGCUCUGACCCUUCUGCCUUCCCCUUAGAAGGACACUUGUGAUCACAUCGGCCCCCCCAGAUAAUAUAGAAUCAUCUCCCCACCUCAAAAUCCUUAAUUUCAUCACAUCUGCAAAAUCCCUUUUUACCAAUAAGGUAACAUAUUCACAAGUUCUGACGAUUGAGACGUGGACGUUUCUGAGGGGAGGGUCAUUAUUCAGACCACCAGGAGGACUGUUUCGGUAUAAACUUUCUGGAGGAAAAUUUGGCAAUAUGUAUCAAAAUCCUUAUAACGUACAUUUCUUUGAUCCAGUAAUUCUAUUCUAGGAAUUUAUCCUAAAUGUUAAUUAAAUAAGUGCGCAAAGCACAGGAUCUGUCUGUAGUAUUUUUUUAAUAGAAAAACUUGGAAAUAAAAAGCAAGAUUUGGAUUAAAUAUAUUGUACGUCAUCCAAAUAAUAGACUAUCAUACAGCCAUUACUAGUGAUAAUCUGAUUUAUAUUUAUCAAUAUGGAAAGAUCUCCACUGUUAAGUAAGAUCUCCAAGUACCAAAAGAGUUGACAUAGUAUGAUUCCAUUCUGUAAAUGUAUAUUAUGUAUAUAUGUAUACAUGUAUGUUUACAUAACAAAUCAGCAAGGAUAUGCACAAAAAUUCUAGUGCAAAAUAUUGUUGAGUUGAAGGAUUUAUUACUUUUUCUUUUUGUUGUGGAAAAUGGAAGUGAGACCUGACUGGGGUGUGUAAAAGGAUGGGCAGGAUUUAGCUGAGUUUGAAGGCCAUGAAUCUGCAGAAAGGACCACAGGAAGACCCUUGAGGAUAUUAACAAGUGGCUGGAUCUUAGAAUCUGGGUGGGCGAGGGAAACAACAAAAGUUCGGAGGGGUCUUACAAAUCAGGAGAAAAUGGAUGGAGGAAUGGAAUGGAAGUCUCUUUCUAGAGAACAUAAUCUCAUUCUCUGCUGCUCAGUUUUUGUAAAAAGUAAGAAAUAAUAUUCACUAAGAAUUGUCAGAAGAAUGUAAAGCCCCUCCAUUUCUCUUCUAGAAGUUUUCUCUAGAUAAAGUCAAACAAGCAGCUAGAACUCUGUACUGAAUAGAAUUGUCUAGGAGCCUUUGAAAUCACUUACCUUAAAGGGCAUCGGCGCCAGAGCUUCAGCCUAAAUGAGGGGUGUGAACAGUAACAGCCUAGAAAAUUCCUCGUUGCCUUGACAGUAGAGCCUGCUGCUGCGCUCAAGGUCACCACCCUGGAGCCCCACCUGAGAAAUUUCAAGACGUGACUUCUACUAAACAACUGGUAUCUUGUAUCCAAUGUGGCGAAUCUGGUCAGGUUUCUCUCUUCAGCUGCUAGAAACCUGACAGCAAAAAUUGUGGCCGCUUCUGUAAUUGCGUCUCACCCAAGAGCAUAAUCUUCUCAUUGUCUUCCAUGAGCUGUUCUAUUUUUACUUUUUCUUCACCCUGAUUUCAUUUUUUUUUUCCCUUUUUCAGGAAGAUUAGCCCUGAGCUAACAUCUGCUGCCAAUCCUCCUCUUUUUGCUGGGGAAGACUGGCCCUGAGCUAACAUCCAUGCCCAUCUUUCUCUAUUUUAUGUGAGACGCCUGCCACAGCAUGGUUUGCCAAGUGGUGCACAAGUCUGCACCUGGGAUCCAAACCAGUGAACCCCAGACCGCUGAAGCAGAACGUGCGAAGUUAACUGCCGUGCCCCAAGGCUGGCCCCACAUUAAUACUUUUUAAAAGCAUCAUUUUAAUAACUACAUAAUAUGUUUUAAUGGACGUACCACAAUUUAUUUACUAUAGUACAUUUAAGGUAACACAGUUAAGAUAAAUAACACUAAUAAACAUCACCAUCCAUAUAUUUUUCCUACAUUUCUCAUAGUUUCCUUAAAAUAAAAUCCUAUAAAUUAUAUACUUUAUGUUCUUAUUGAAUUGUGCUUAAUUUUGUGAGUUGAUUUACAAUAUCUACCAACAUCAGAUUAUGUGAGAAUUCAGUGAGAUGAGGUAUGUUCCUAUUUUCCUGAGCUAAGUUGGAAUAAAAGUUGUGGUCAUACAAGCACUUGAAGAAUAUUAAAGAUCUUCUUGACCAUUUCUUCUCCACUAAAAAAAAGGGAGGAGGGAAGGAACAACUUUUGAUGUGGGAUCCUUCCCAGAUUUUAAAUUAUUGUUCCUUUCCUCUGGGUUCUCUAAAGUCUUGCCUUAAUGACCAGACUCUCUCUAAAAACAGGCUCUGAGACUCUGACCACAGAGGGAAGGUUCUCUUACAGUCUCUACACAGUUAAGGAAAAGGCAGAGACCAGGGAGCCCUGAUCCAGUGACUUGCAGAGAGAAAUUAACCUUCAGUUUUUUGGGGUUUUUUGAGGAAGAUUGGCUCUGAGCUAGCAUCUGUUGUCAAUCUUCCUCUUUUUUUCCCCGCUUCUCCCCAAAGCCUCAGUACAUGGUUGUAUAUUCCAGUUGUAGGUCCUUCUGGUUGUGCUACGUGGGACACUGCCUCAGCACGGCUUGAUGAGCAGUGCACAGGUCAGCGCCCAGGAUCUGAACUGGCGAACCCUGGGCCGCCAUAGUGGAUCAUGUGAACUUAACCACUCGGCCACAGGACUGGACCCAACCUUUACCUUUUCAAGUAGACCAAACUCCAACCUGUAUAUUCAGGACUGGAGCGAGAACCAGGAUGGAGAAAAAUUUUAAGGACUUUGUGUAAAGAAGGUCUUGCUUCCCUCCCGAGGCCAGCGAGAGAUGGUGAAGCAAGCAAGGAUGGAGCAACACCCCAAAGCUGUGACACGCAGGCCCCACCAGCGACUGGCCUUGGGCCCCUUCACCCCCGUCACUCCCUCCACCACCUCCCCAGGCUCUCCCAGCUCCCUGGGAUCCCAGGCUCUCCAUGCCCGGCCCAGUCUGCGACCAAUGCCUGGGCUAGGCCUGGCUGGUGUCUCCUUGCCCUCUAGGCCUUUGCCUCUUCCUCCAGGGAGUCCUCCCUAAUGCCCUUCCCAGACUGAGUCCGUCUGUGCUGCAUGUGUCAUGUCUGUGAAACGUAGAGGACAUAUGGCUCCUCCAGGAGGGGCACAGGAGUCUGGGAGGGAACCAGUGGGAGGCUGGCAAGAGGAAGCAAGGAGAAGCCAGCACAGAUGCCUGAGCAACUGACUGAAGCCUUGUCGUCUCUGACCUUGGAAGUCAGGCCCUCACUCGGUUACCUGAUCUCACGGCUCAAUUUGCAACCGGAAGCACAUCAUCGGCUCAAACGAACGUUGGUUGAAUGAAUGAACUGGAGGAAAAGAACCGGGGAGGCAGAGGGGGUCUGAAAACCUCGAGUCGGGUCUGCAUCCUGCUGUGUAAAAUGAGCUCACACGCGCACUGCAGGAGAUUCCAACAGCCUGGCCUGGGGUCUCCUCUUCCAUCAGGGCUCAGCUGAGCCACCGCCUGCCCCAGGAAGCCUUCUCUCAACCCCACAGUUCACUGGGGGUGGGGGCAGGGGCACCGUGCAUAAGCUCGUUGUUGGAGGGAGUAAUGGACCAAGUCCAGAAAGUUCCAUUGCAAGAUGAUGAGAGUCAGGGAGGCAGGGUGGCCUCAUGGGCUUUGCCAUUUUCUUUUUCUUACCUUGUUAAAUUAAAAGCAAUUUUCAAAAAAGUGAAAAGAAAACUCUCUCCCAAUAAAAGGAUCUUCCAGCUGGAGUUGGGAUCCUUCCUAGGAGAGUAUCAGUAUUUUCUCUGUUCUAGGGGGAGCGCUGGAAUAUAUCCUGGGGCAGACUCUCCUUUUGUUCCGGAGGACUGUGAGCUGGUUUGGUUUGAGGUCUAUAAGAUUCUUCAUUGUUGUGGGGAGAAGUCCCAAGGAAAGCCCCAAACCAAUGAAGUGAUCCUACUGCAGAUGUUUCAGAGGGAGGUGUUGAGGGCUUUUCUUAGCGCUGUACCUUGACGUGUCUUCUUGACAGGACUAAGCCUCUGCAGGAUCAGAGCCACCAUGGAGCAGCAUGGAGACUGGGCAGAGAAAUCAGCCAGCUCUGCUCACCGGUCCGUGAGGUGCUAGUCUUCCCAGAGAAAGGGCAGCUUUUUCUAAUUUUCACGAUGUGCCAUAGAGACUAGAGUUUCUGAGAGACAGUAUACAACCCCUGAGACCAUGCCAAGAAGGACCUAGGGAUCUGAUCUGAUCUCUACCAUUUACCAGAGGAAAGACUAUGAAGAGGAAGUAAACUGAGUUUGGUUUAGAAGCGCUGGCUCCUUGAUUUUGUUGCCCAGACGUGGUAUUAAGCCUGAAUAACCCAGCCUGCAGGAAAUGUGUUGUCAGCUGUUGAGAGUGUCUUGUCUGAGCAAUGGAGGAGGGAGAUGGAGUGGGCAGACGGUAUGCUACGUGGAGGGUGGGAGUGCUCCUAAGCCGAUGGGUGCUCCCACUGCGAAUCAGCCUGGGAUAGGAAAAGAAACAGGUCCAGGAAGGGGAGAGGGCUCUCUAGAGCCAGAGAAGUUGAGCCUGGAUUUCGGGUAGGAGGACAGCAGCAAAGAUCCUUGCAAGAUGGCAGCUGUCUGAGGAUCAAGGAGAAAGAAGACCAAUAGGGGAUGACCUAUAGGAGGGUGCGGAUUAGGCACCUAGGAAGAGUGAUAGCUGGAUAUUUUUUGACCACAUUACAGUCCAUUCAGCAAUCUCCAAGCCUUCAGUGAAGUUUAUUUAGCUUUGAAGAAAUAAAGAAGAUGCCUGGACCUGCGCAUUGGGCCACCGCAGCCUGGACAAGCCGUUACACAAGAGGGGAGUUGCGGUUUGGAGAAAAAUGACUGGCUAAAGGGACGAAUGCAGGGGAACCAUCUUCAUGGGACAGAUAAGCAUUCUUUGAGGACUAUCAGAAACACUUGGCGAGGGCAACCAGAAAACCAGGACUUCAUGCAGUUGUUCAAGUCAGGAGCUUGGAUGAAGUUAGUUGGUGUUAAAGGAAAGGUUGACUCUGGAAGGCUAGAGGUGGUGGGGACAUGUGAGAUCCCCAGGGGAGAACGAAUGGCUAGAAGGGAAGGGAAUGUGGCAUUGCUGACUCCAAAGUGCCACAACACAUUUUUCUUUUAGCUCUCAAAGUGAAAAGCUGACAGUUCCAUUCCUAUAAGGGGAAGGCAUUUUGCUAGAUGGAAUCUCAUUUUCAUUUCCUCUCUGUUGUCACUGAAACACUGAUUACUUAUAAACAUUUGUGCAAGAAGAAUUCAGAUUCAGAUUCUUUGUUUAAAAAUUACAUAAUUUUUAAAUUAAAUACGUUCUUCCAGUACUCAUUCAAAGACAGAAAAACAAAUCAGAUUUUAUGUUUUUGCCUCUGUCACUGGUUCGAUAUUAACUAGUUACCUGCCUGUUUUUCUGUCUCUCAGUCAUCUUAACUCAAAUGCCUGCAAAAAGCCAAUACUGCUUAGUGUUAAAAUAAAAUAAAAAUCCCACUUCGCAUAUUAUUUUAUUUUAUAUAAAAAUGCAUAUUACUUCCAGAUGGUCAAGUCUAACCCAACCAGAAAAAGGCUUAUUAAAAUAAUGCAUAAAAUCUGAGGAAAACAAAUAAGACUUAAAAGCAAAAAGAAUAGUUAUUAGAAUUACAGAUGCGUAAUUUCCCUGGAAUGCUAGUGAUCUGAAGUAAUCUAAGGAAAUGUUUACUUUGGUCUACUUGCAACUUAGUAUUACUCUAUGGUGAUUUGAAGUGUUGACACUAAACCAAUAAAAUAAACGUCUGUAAUGAAGUCAUAGAUGUAAAUUCCCACUGCAAUUGAACAAGAUGCAGAGAAUUCCACUCUAAAACACCACUGCCAAGCACUAUGGGGACCACUCAUUUCUAUUUGUUUUCAACAAACAAAAUUUAACAUAAAUUGUAGGUGUUAGCAAACUAAUAUUUUUUAAAAACUUGAAAAAAAUUUUUCAUUUUCUCCCAAAGCCCCGCAGUACAUAGUUGUGUAUUUUUCAUUAUGGGUACUUCUAGU